CAGCUUCUGGGUUUCAUGUUCUACCAGGAGGUGACACUUUUCAUUCUGGAACAAAUUCCAGACAGAACAGGAGAAAGCAAGAAGGCAGCCAUCUGCAAGCCAGGAAGAGAGGCUUCACCAGAACCCAGCCGCACUGGAGAAAUUUGUAGUAAGGAUGAGGACAUGGACCUGAAUGAGACACUCCCAACAUUACCGUUCUCUCUCUGAGCCACAGGCAGGGAGCUGGUGUCAGAUGAAGACCUCAUGCCCUGCAAGACACAGAGCGGGCUGGUGCUCAACCCACUAAGAAUGGUCAGUUCAUUGCACUGCAUUCUGAUCUGUGAAAACCGAUAGCCGCCCACAGUACAUCGGAAUGGUGAUUUGGCUUCCUGACCAAAAUCAGAACCACUGCCCCACAAGUAGGGUGGUUCUUCUCGACAUCAUGGGACAAAAAAAGAAAAUGCGGGCUUUCCUGAAACAUCUAUGACUCCUCAGAACGUCAGAACAUCCAGGACCCCAUUUUGCUGCCCCGCACCCAAGUACUGAGGCAUCUACACUGCUCAGCUGUGUGGGCCAUCACAGCGCUGGCUGUAGCUUCUUCAUUGUGUCAGGAAGCCAGAGAUGGUGCUGGUCCCCUGGCCCCAUGUCUUUUGCUUCUUCACGACAGGCUGCACCGUUGGCUCAAAAGCCCACAGGCGCCACACUCAAACUUUCACCCAUCCAACUGUUUUACAUGUAGCUCAAACAACAGAUUUUUGGCCAUUUAGAGCCCACUUGCUUUUGCACACCCCCACAAAACACCAAACAUCUGCUAGGCAGAGAUGAGAUAAAGCCAGGGCUACAGAAAGACCCUAAGCCCUGCUGCCCUUCAGAGCUCUACCCUAGGACCCCCUUGCUGAGUGACCCCAUCCAGAUACAGAAGCCCUCUCUCCCCAGGAGUUUCUCUGCCCUCCUUCUGGGAGUGGCCCACACUGGGGUCUCUGGAAGGUCCCGUGCUGUGAGGGACCCGCUGGUGUGCAAACCUGUCAGAGCCCCCCCCACACCAGGCGUGGUUAGGAGCUCAGCUUCAAGAGGAGAUCCGUGGUCAAGGCCCACUCUACCACCCAUUAGCCGAGCAACACGAGUCAAAGCACAGUCGUUCUGCAAGCCUCCGUUUUCUCAUCUACAAAAAUGCCUCAUUGCAUUAAGGUGAAGAUUCAAGGAGAUUGAGCCAUGAAGACUGCACACGGCCUGGCAGAUCAGUCACUCGAUAUGUGAUAGCUCUUAUAAGGGGCUCAAUACUGUCCCCACCCCCGGCACCCUGUUCACCCGGUGUACUUAUUUACAAUUUCCACCCACCCUACAUCCCUCCCUCCCUUACCAGGAAUAAUGCUGGUGACAGCUGGUAUCUGUGCCUCAGUCCUGACUUCAGUGGGAGCUGUCCCCAUGUUUCACUCUGAAGGAUGCUGUUUGGUGUUAGGAUGGAGAAGAACCUAGCAGUUCCUAGCAGAGCCCACUCUCUGGCACCCACCUCGAA